rnacentral:rRNA from 1 species
UCAGGAUGAACGCUAGCUACAGGCUUAACACAUGCAAGUCGAGGGGCAGCAUGGAGUUGCUUGCAAACUCUGAUGGCGACCGGCGCACGGGUGAGUAACGCGUAUCCAACUUCCCCUUAGUAGGGCAUAGCCCGGCGAAAGUCGGAUUAAUACCCUAUGUUAUUCGUCGAGGACAUCUGAAGUGAAUCAAAGGUUUACCGCUAAGGGAUGGGGAUGCGUCUGAUUAGGUAGUCGGCGGGGUAACGGCCCACCGAGCCUUCGAUCAGUAGGGGUUCUGAGAGGAAGGUCCCCCACACUGGUACUGAGACACGGACCAGACUCCUACGGGAGGCAGCAGUGAGGAAUAUUGGUCAAUGGGCGUAAGCCUGAACCAGCCAAGUAGCGUGCAAGGGACGACGGCCCUAUGGGUUGUAAACUGCUUUUAUGCGGGGAUAAAGUGCGCCAUGUGUGGUGUUUUGUAGGUACCGCAUGAAUAAGGACCGGCUAAUUCCGUGCCAGCAGCCGC